GACGAACGCUGGCGGCGUGCUUAACACAUGCAAGUCGAACGGAAAGGCCCUGCUUUUGUGGGGUGCUCGAGUGGCGAACGGGUGAGUAACACGUGAGUAACCUGCCCUUGACUUUGGGAUAACUUCAGGAAACUGGGGCUAAUACCGGAUAGGAGCUCCUGCUGCAUGGUGGGGGUUGGAGAGUUUCGGCGGUUGGGGAUGGGCUCGCGGCUUAUCAGCUUGUUGGUGGGGUAGUGGCUUACCAAGGCUUUGACGGGUAGCCGGCCUGAGAGGGUGACCGGCCACAUUGGGACUGAGAUACGGCCCAGACUCCUACGGGAGGCAGCAGUGGGGAAUAUUGCACAAUGGGCGGAAGCCUGAUGCAGCAACGCCGCGUGCGGGAUGACGGCCUUCGGGUUGUAAACCGCUUUCGCCUGUGACGAAGCGUGAGUGACGGUAAUGGGUAAAGAAGCACCGGCUAACUACGUGGCAGCCGCCGCAGUAA
rnacentral:rRNA from 1 species